UGGGAGCAGCGCAAAUCUGGUAGAGG
rnacentral:piRNA from 1 species